rnacentral:rRNA from 1 species
GAUGAACGCUGGCGGCGUGCCUAACACAUGCAAGUCGAGCGGACGGACGCGAAUCUUGCUUUUCUGAUGUUAGCGGCGGACGGGUGAGUAACACGUGGAUACCCUACCUAUAAGAGUGGGAUAAUCUCGGGAAACCGGAGCUAAUACCGGAUAAUAUUUUGAACCGCGGGGUUCAAAAGUGAAAGACGGUCUUGCUGUCACUUAUAGAUGGAUCCGCGCUGCAUUAGCUAGUUGGUAAGGUACCGGCUUAUCAAGGCAACGAUGCAUAGCCGACCUGAUAGGGUGAUCGGCCACACUGGAACUGAGCCGCGGUCCAGACUCCUGCGGGGGGCAGCAGUAGGGAAUCUUACGCAAUGGGCGAAAGCCUGACGGAGCAACGCCGCGUGAGUGAUGAAGGUCUUCGGAUCGUAAAACUCUGUUAUUAGGGAAGAACAUAUGUGUCAGUAACUGUGCACAUCUUGACGGUACCUAAUCAAAAAGCCCCGGCUAACUACGUG